rnacentral:rRNA from 1 species
UACGAAGGGGGCUAGCGUUGUUCGGAAUAACUGGGCGUAAAGCGCACGUAGGCGGAUUUGUAAGUCAGGGGUGAAAUCCCGGGGCUCAACCUCGGAACUGCCUUUGAUACUGCAAGUCUGGAGUCCGGAAGAGGUGAGUGGAAUUCCUAGUGUAGAGGUGAAAUUCGUAGAGAUUAGGAAGAACACCAGUGGCGAAGGCGGCACACUGGCCCGUUACUGACGAUGAGGCGCGAAAGCGUGGGGAGCAAACAGG